rnacentral:misc_RNA from 1 species
UUAGAUAGGCUGACUCCUGCACUGUAACAAUUUUACAGCUAUUUAGCUGUUUAAUAUAUAAUUGUAACUUGUUAACAUUACAUAUACCUCUACUUUCAAACUUUUUGAAUUUUAAUUCAUAAAUCUAUUAACAGCUACAUGUAUUUGAAUUUGGAUUUAUAUCAAAAUUAAGCAAUCAUUGAAUUUUGUAAAUGCUGAUAAAUAUAUGUUGAAUCAUUAAAUUUCUCCCUAAAUUGUUCUAGGUAAUAAAAUGCAUGUAUAUAUUUGUUUCUUUUAUAAUUGUGCCCCCAUUAUGAGCUAAAUUUUAAUAUUUAAGAUUCUAUCAAUGAGAUCUAUGAUUUUUAAGGAUGAUGUUUUAACCUUUUUUCAUGUAGGAAAAUUGCACAAAAAUUUAUAUGCCUACAAGUUAUAAUCGAUCCAUUGAAAUCUGUUACAUUAUAUUGCCAUGGGGUUAAGUUGUUGAAAUGUACUUAUAUAUAUCUGUGUAUUGGUUAUGACUUCAUUGUUAGCGAAAACAAUCUCUAAUAAAUGUAUGGUUAAAAUGU